CUUUUCUCUGCUUUCUAAUGGCGAGUGGGAACGUCUGCAAUUCAGAGCCCAGGAGCGAAGGGCAGGGUGGUACAUUUGGGGUCACCCACACACCCUACGAAAAGCUGCGAGUCAGUUUCUCAAACUGAUGAAAGAAGGUCUUUCUGUUUCUGAGCCCACGCGGGAUUGAGGGAACUGCAACAUGCACAAAGGGAGGAAAAGCCCCCAAAGGUGGAAGGAACCAACUGAGAAGAGGCAUCUGAAACCGGGAAAUCUUGGAGCAUUAAAA
rnacentral:lncRNA from 12 species